UACGUAGGGGCAAGCGUUGUCCGGAAUUAUUGGCGUAAAGAGCGCGUAGGCGGUCCGAUAAGUCGGCUGUGAAAGUCAGGGGCUCAACCCUUGAAAGCCGGCCGAUACUGUCGGACUAGAGUCCGGAAGAGGCAAGUGGAAUUCCCGGUGUAGCGGUGGAAAUGCGCAGAUAUCGGGAGGAACACCAAUGGCGAAGGCAGCUUGCUGGGACGGUACUGACGCUGAGACGCGAAAGCGUGGGAGCAACAG
rnacentral:rRNA from 1 species